ACAGUUUUGCAAAACGUUUGGAUUAGUAGCAAACUACACGAUUAGCUGUGUUAAAAUUUAAAUCGUGUGGAAUUGAGGAGUAACUCAAUGUGUUGCUCGCUUUUUUAGCUAGCAAGUCGUUGGAAAUAGCUUUAGCUAUUCAACUAGGCUAACGUUAGUGAAAGUAAACAAACCAAGAAACCCAGCUACUACUAGCUGAUGUGUCAUCAAGGCGCUUUGCUGAAAUAGACUUAUAAAAACCUAACAAUGCAGUGCAACAAUGUGACAACUAUCCCCAAAGGGCUACUGCAGCUUCGAGACAGUUUGAGUAGCAUGAUGGACAGCCUGUACUGUGACCCCAAGGUGGCAGCGCUGAUGAACACAUCAAUGGGGCAGUACCUCAAUGGCCACCCAUUCUUAGCCCUGGCUGUGUUGGUAUUUGGCGCCAUGGCCACUGUACCCAUUGGGAUUUCCUGACCUUUGCCACUGUUACAUUCAUUGGUGCCACUGUGGGUUUCGUUUUAUUGGAGGUGUUUCUGCUAUCCCUAGGAGGGGUCAGUCUGCUGUGUGUGCUCUCUGCUCUGGCCAUCCUCUCCAUCCUGGUCUCCUUGGUCCUCGGUGCCUGUUACAUUACCUCUUACAAUGUGCUCAACUUCUACUACAGCCAGCGUGUCAGUAGGUACCGAGUCACUAGGUUGGAGCCUGCGACAAAUAUAACAGUCAUGGAACAAGAUGGGUGUGUUCAACUUAAC